ACAGGAGGAAGCUUGCUUCCUUGCUGACGAGUAGCGGACGGGUGAGUAAAGCUUGGGAAUCUGUCUUAGGGAGGGGGAUAACCACGGGAAACUGUGGCUAAUACCGCGUAUAAUCGAGAGAUGAGAGGUGUGGGACCGUAAGGCCACAUGCCCUGAGGUGAGCCCAAGUGAGAUUAGGUAGUUGGUGGGGUAAAGGCCUACCAAGCCGACGAUCUCUAGCUGGUUUGAGAGGAUGACCAGCCACACUGGGACUGAGACACGGCCCAGACUCCUACGGGAGGCAGCAGUGGGGAAUAUUGCGCAAUGGGGGCAACCCUGACGCAGCCAUGCCGCGUGAAUGAAGAAGGCCUUCGGGUUGUAAAGUUCUUUCAGUGGUGAGGAAGGUAAUAAUGUUAAUAGUAUUAUUAAUUGACGUUAGCCACAGAAGAAGCACCGGCUAAUUCCGUGCCAGCAGCCGCGGUAAUACGGAAGGUGCGAGCGUUAAUCGGAAUAACUGGGCGUAAAGGGCACGCAAGCGGUAACUUAAGUGAGGUGUGAAAGCCCAGGGCUUAACCUUGGAGGUGCAUUUCAUACUGGGUUACUAGAGUACUCUAGGGAGGGGUA
rnacentral:rRNA from 1 species